rnacentral:lncRNA from 1 species
UUUGGAAUAACAAUUGUAGCCAGUACAUUUGUAGGUACAUAACAACUAUAAUUAAUUUGAGGACAGUGAUUGAAGAAAUGUAAACUAAAUAAUAGAUUAACUAUUGAUUUUGUGGUGUUUCUCUCAACUGACACACUUGUUUUUUCUUGAUUAUUUAUUUAUUGUCUUGAUGUGCAAUUAAAGCCUCCCUUCUAUUUGUCAGUUUGACAACAAAUAAUGUUGACCUUUCAUCUAUAAAUAAGACAAAAAUUUAAUUUAUCAAUCUGAAUCUCGAUACAAAAUUUAAAGAAAUGACACUUCCAGUAAAUGAUGGUUGAAACUUGAUCGACGAUCCCGGGUCAAUGGACAAAGCCAAUGCAAUGUUACGCGACUCUGGU